GGCUGGUCUGAUUAUUACAGAUUAUCAGAACUUAUUAACAUUACUGCCACUAAAGUUGGUAUACAACUCCCAUGGCUAAAUUUCACUGGCUUAAA
rnacentral:sRNA from 1 species